rnacentral:rRNA from 1 species
AUCAUUUAAAGAGUGCGUAAUAGCUCACUGGUCGAGUGACUCUGCGCCGAAAAUGUAACGGGGCUAAACAUACUGCCGAAGCUAUGGAUUGAUACUAAUGUAUCAGUGGUAGGGGAGCGUUGUGUACCGGGUUGAAGGUAGACCGAGAGGACUGCUGGACUGUACACAAGUGAGAAUGCCGGUAUGAGUAACGAAAAGACAUGUGAGAAUCAUGUCCGCCGAAAACCUAAGGGUUCCUGAGGAAGGCUCGUCCACUCAGGGUAAGUCGGGACCUAAGGCGAGGCCGAAAGGCGUAGUCGAAGGACAACAGGUUGAAAUUCCUGUACCACCGUAACCGUUAUGAGCAAUGGGGGGACGCAGAAGGAUAGGGACGCGAGCUGAUGGAUGCUCGUCCAAGCAGUGAGGCUGAUGUGUAGGCAAAUCCGCACAUCGUUAAGGCUAGGCUGUGAUGGGGAGGGAAAAUUACAGUACCGAAGGUCUUGAUUUCAUGCUGCCAAGAAAAGCCUCUAGCCAGGUGAAGGUGCCCGUACCGUAAACCGACACAGGUAGGUGAGAAGAGA